rnacentral:sRNA from 1 species
AGAGACACUUGGGCACCUUUGUGAUGUCAUACAGAGAAGUCACAGGGCAGUACGUGAGGGGUCUAU